CUGCUGGUUGUUAUGAAAUGAUUUCGGCACAAAAUCUGCUGGUUUCUGGCUGCUAUAGUAAUCAUUUGCAAUGUUAAUUUGUUCAUUCUGCUUCACAGUUCCCCGAUUAAACUGCUGACCAAAGUUCCCACUAGGUAUAAAAUUUUGUGAUCCUACAAACCCAUUAGGAUCCACAGGACCCUGACUCAGUUCGUCGUAUGAAAGAACUGAUCCCAGAGAAUUAGGAGAUUUGUGCUGCUCCAAAUGAUUGUUCAUGGACACAUUUGAAUCAUAGGAAUUAUGCAAUUGCUGGUUUGUAUCAAAAUUUGAAACAGUAUUAGUCUUAGCAACAGUAUCAGGUUGCCACAUAUUCAAACCUUGCUGAUUGUAGUCACCAUAAGACUCACCCCAGCAACCAUGCUUGUCUUGGUCAUUAUAGCCUUGUGACUCAUACUUGUCAGCUUGCUC
rnacentral:misc_RNA from 1 species